CUCUAUGGCCAUACUACCCUAAACUCCCCCAGUCUUGUCUGAUCUUGGAAGCUAAGCAGGGCCAGGCCUGGUUAGUACUUGGAUGGGAGAAGGGAGAAUAAUGAGAUGAAAUAUUUC
rnacentral:rRNA from 1 species